CAAUGAUACAGUCACGAAACGUUUCUUGGUAGCAGUUUGCUACGCCAAUCUAAUGGAUAUGGUAGCGAUAGUUGAUAGGUUAGCCUUUAGAUCAGGUAGCGGUAGAUUGUGUAGCGUAGAUAUUGUAGCAAUAUGUAGGUAGCAAUAUGUAGGUUCGAACUGAAACACGACAAUAAAAUAAAACUACUUAACUAAGUGAUAUACUUAAGCAUGCAAUAAACUAACGAAUGUCAAUGAAUAACAAAACUAACUAAACAUAAACUAAUAAACAAUCCAAUACUGUAACUUACGUACUUUAGUUUACACCUGUACUCCAAUAGCUGGCUGCUGUAGAUAGAUAAUUGAAGUAGAAAUCCACUAUAUUUGAAUAGGUUGCGUUCGCAUGUCUUUUUGUACUACCGUCAAUUCAAUACUAAAGGGGUGUGACUUAAUGUCACGCAAACAUACAAGGCUGAUAUGCCACAAUGGCAUUACGUAAUUAUGAUCUACUAGAUAUCCUGUUUCAAACUAACAUUCCGGCCCCUUAAAGGCGUUUUUUGCCUUUACAAAGCGUACCGAAUAGGGUAGUUUGAGACAGUAUAGUAACUAAAUAACCAGUUAAUGAAUGUUCUACUUAUCGUUUGAUGAUCCGGCUGCUUCCAACAGAACAAUCUUGGUGAUUGGUCGAACCAACGCUGUAGUACUAGUCUUCACUUUCACCGAUCGCACAAA